rnacentral:rRNA from 1 species
AGCAGCCGCGGUAAUUCCAGCUCCAAUAGCGUAUAUUAAAGUUGUUGCAGUUAAAAAGCUCGUAGUUGAAUUUCGGGAUCAGUUGAUCGGUCGUGCCUCGGUACGUACUGGUCAAAUUGAUUCCUACCUUCUGACGAACCACGAUGUCAUUAAUUUGGUGUCGUGGGAAAUCAGGACUGUUACUUUGAAAAAAUUAGAGUGUUUAAAGCAGGCUCGCGCUUGAAUACAUUAGCAUGGAAUAAUGAAAUAGGACGUUUGAUUCUAUUUUGUUGGUUUCUAGGAUCGACGUAAUGAUUAAUAGGGAUAGUUGGGGGCAUUAGUAUUCAAUUGUCAGAGGUGAAAUUCUUGGAUUUAUUGAAGACUAACUACUGCGAAAGCAUUUGCCAAGGAUGUUUUCAUUAAUCAAGAACGAAAGUUAGGGGAUCGAAGACGAUCAGAUACCGUCGUA